AUACGGAUGGUGCGAGCGUUGUUCGGAAUUACUGGGCGUAAAGGGCGCGUAGGCGGCGAUGUAAGUCAAAUGUGAAAGUCCUCGGCUUAACCGGGGAAGUGCAUCUGAAACUGCAUUGCUUGAGUAUGGGAGAGGAAAGUGGAAUUCCCGGUGUAGAGGUGAAAUUCGUAGAGAUCGGGAGGAAUACCGGUGGCGAAGGCGACUUUCUGGACCAAUUCUGACGCUGAGGCGCGAAAGCGUGGGGAGCAAACAGGAUUAGAUACCCGAGUAGUCC
rnacentral:rRNA from 1 species